UAGCCGGUGAAAGUCCGGCCAUGGGAGGGGCCAAACCUCAAAGUAGCUAGGAUACCUGCGUACGGUGAGAGCUUUGCGCAGAAGCGCAUCGACAAAAGCUCUGUCGGAGACAGGGCGAGCAACAUAUCAGGCGGUAACAUGA
rnacentral:ncRNA from 1 species